CCAACAAACAGUAUCAACAACGAAAGAGAAGAUUAAUGAUAGGAUUGAGUAACAAAGGUAAAUCAGUUGUGAAAGUGGGCAUGCAAAAAUAAAAAAAAGAUGGUGGUUUGCUUAGUGAGGUUCUGGGCCUGAGCCGGGCUCAAAGUGCAGCGGCUUGUUAUCCUCCCACCGUUGAAAGUGGGCAGUGAUCGCUGCUCUGUGAAGCCAGCCUUACGCCAUUCCUGCCAACAAACAGUAUCAACAACGAAAGAGAAGAUUAAUGAUAGGAUUGAGUAACAAAGGUAAAUCAGUUGUGAAAGUGGGCAUGCAAAAAUAAAAAAAAGAUGGUGGUUUGCUUAGUGAGGUUCUGGGCCUGAGCCGGGCUCAAAGUGCAGCGGCUUGUUAUCCUGCCACCGUUGAAAGUGGGCAGUGAGCAACUUGGGAUGGGCAAGCCGGCCAAUGUCACAACGAGCCCAAGGCCCAGAAAUU
rnacentral:lncRNA from 1 species